rnacentral:lncRNA from 1 species
CAAAAUACAAGUCCCUAUGGUUAACUCAUCGCCUUCUACAAGUGAUAAAUGAUAAUCAAUCCAGAAAAAAUGUACAGCAAUUUCACACACACACAAAGCUGGAAAGCAUCCUUUAGAAACAAAGAAUCGUCUUUACAGAGGAAUCGGCUGUGCUGCUUUCACCCUUUCUCCUCGUCUUCCAUAUAAAUAGAUCAAUAACGUAAAUAGCAUUAGCAAGUCUAUCUAGGGAUGUCAAACGGGCCGAGCGCAAGGCUCAAUCCCUUGAGUCAAGCGCGAGCUCGCAUCGUGGGCCGAGCCGAGCUCGUGGGUAAAAGGGCCAAGCCAUCCCUAACACCUCGACUGGACUGCCAGCAGAUUCAGCUACAAACAUUGGCACUGUAAAUUGUGAAAUAUGAGGCAAAAAGAGUUUCCUGAAAAAAUAAAAAUAAAAAUAAAUCUGUUUUUUCGCCGCCAAAAAAUGUACAGCAGAUGUGUUACUUGUCAUAAAAUGCUAGGAGCUGCUUCACGUGAUUUUGCCAUGCAGCACAAUAAACGAUUAUUUUGAAAAGAUAUUGUGGUAUGAAAUCAGCAUUUCUUUGGUACUGUUUCACUGUCAAACUAAUUCAAGUAUUAGCUGCUCCAUAUUCUGAUGGACAAGAAUUCAUAGUCGUACUUUCUAAUUCACCUCUCAUGAGUCAGCACCUUUUCUCCAUGUGUACAAAAUAUAACAAGAUAAGAAAUAAUAAACAGAACAGAUAGAUUCAAAAUCAGGAAACAGAAAACAGACUGAUGUGAUAGCAAGUUGUUGGGUGUUUUUUUAAAAAAAUUUCAAACUCUCCAAUUUUGCAUCGACAUGUGUGCCUGGCUAUAAUUGUACAAAUGAGAACAAUAACCAAAAAAAUGAAUUUGCUGGCGUCUAUAACUAAGAACACAGCGAUUUCCAACAAAUUGAGAAUUAAUCAAGGGAAACAUAUAUUUUCCAACAUGGAGUGCGCAUAAAAUGCUUAGGUUCAAUACCAAAAGGAACAGUGAUUAGCAUGUACCGUAAUUAUGCUCCCAGUCUAGCCUUUCCAGAUCUUCCGAGGUGGGAAUUUGUGAUGUCUCUUUGACAGAAAUAGUACAUGCUUAAUCACUAGUGGAAGAAGCAAAUUUUAUAAAGUUCAAAAGGGAAAAUCAUCAUAAUUUAGAAUUCACGUGAACCUUAAAGCAAAGCCAAGUGUCUCACAAGGUACAAAAGUGGCUAUUUGGAAGUAAAAAAAGAGAGACUGAAAAAUGGUGCAAAAGGUAGAAGCAGUUGCAGACUUAUAUGAAUUGGUUACAGAGUAUGCUAUAGUAAUUUACCGUAACAUAAUAUUUGCAAUAAAAAGAAAAAGAAAAAGAGAAGGCCAACAUCAUAUAAAAAGCUAUGUUGGUCAGCAAUGGAAUUCGGCCAUUAAAUUCAGAAGCUUCAGUAGAAGCAAUCACACAAUUAACCAAGUUCCAUUCGGUUCUCAGGUUCCGUAUUAUAAUUAAAUUUUUUAAUGUUUACAAAGUUAAAUUAACUCAUAAUGUAGUCCAAAAUAUGUGUCUUUUGCAUAUCUCUUUGUUAAGCUAUCUUUGAUUUGAUUGUUAAAAUUACAGGAAGAGGAAGAUAACGAACUCAAAACAAUUAGAAAUUAGAUUAAUUUCGAGCUUCAAUUCAAUUUGAUUAAAUUGGCUUUGGAUUGAAAAUUAGAAAUAUGAAAUCAUAUUUUUGGUUUUAAACUAAACUAAUUAGUUAGCAAAUUAUUUUAGAAAAAAUAAAAUUUGGUUUAUUUAAAUAAAUUAAUUAAAAAAUUAGGGAGAUUCGAUUUUUGAUCUAGAACCAAGAACCGAACCGAACCGAACCGAACCCAUUGGUUCUCAAUUCAGAUACUCGUUCGGAUAUUUAACUUAAGAAGAACCGCUUGGUUCGAUUCGAGAGUUUUGUCCUGCCCUACUGCAAGAAGAGUCAAGUAGUCAAUUUGUCCCCAACAAAAAAGUACAAGGUCUAAUUAGGAUGAAGGAAAAACUUUUAAUGGGAAUUUUCGUUAUCCUAGAAGUCACUUCUUAGAAAUUACCGCCAGGGAAAUGUUUUUUAUAUAUUUCCUUCGCAACUAGAAGUGCAGAAAAACAAACUUCACAUGCAUGUUGCGUGAGAGUUUACCUCCCAUGGUCAUAAAGGAAGUAGUGUUCUGUUAGUAGUUCUGAAACUCCAUUUCCAUGAAACAAGCAAUGCUCAAAUAAAUUGGUUCUAAGUCCUGUGUUUCCUGUCGCUAUAAGAUAAUAAUGUAAGGAAGUUCUGAAACCAAUUAACGUAAGAAAUUGACCCAAACUCUUGACUUGAAAUCUGCUUGGGUCCGCCCAGUUGUGACUUAAAAUUUGAAGUCUUCAAAAACCACGCAGCUUUAGGCAAAAUUCAAGUGACUCUAGAUGUCAAACCAGCAUCCAAAUGUAGCAAUAUAUUGAACAUUAAUUGAAAUUGAAAUACAUCGUGGUCUAUACUAAUAGAAAGUGUACGAAAAAAGGAUUCCCAACCAAUGGUUCUAUAAUGACUAUUGAUUCUCACGAUCAAUUUUAGUGUGGCAGGGGGCUUUUAAGACGAGGACUUAAGAUCAAUUAAUGUUUCAAUGUUUUCAUGUCAUGUCAUACAUGUAUCCGCUACAAUCCAUCAUUCAUAGAGAUAGGAACUAAGUAAUAUAAUUUUUUCCUUCUCUUAAGUUCUGGGAAAAAGUCUGAUGGCAAAGCUCAUCAAAAGGGGUUCCACCUCAUUAAGGAGAUGAGCUCGAGUUAAAUUUUACAUAUUUAAUACAAAUCACUGCUGGGAGGUUAGCUGAAAUGUCGAUACUGGCACAUUUGUACGGAUGGAAAAGACUUACCAGCAGGAUAUUGAAGAGCAGCAGAAAUGCGGCAUAUAGAUGGAACUACAGAUGGAUCUCUGGCACCAGUUCUUGCUAUCAGUACCGUAGCAUUCCUUUCAGCAGUAGCAACUGCUUUAGGUCCUUUAGAUCCAUUAGCACCCAUUGACUCCAAUAAUGCCUGAAUCAGAAAUCAAAGGGCACAUAAGAAAACU